rnacentral:rRNA from 1 species
AGUGAACGCUGGCGGUAGGCCUAACACAUGCAAGUCGAACGGCAGCACAGUAAGAGCUUGCUCUUACGGGUGGCGAGUGGCGGACGGGUGAGGAAUACAUCGGAAUCUACUUUUUCGUGGGGGAUAACGUAGGGAAACUUACGCUAAUACCGCAUACGACCUACGGGUGAAAGCAGGGGAUCUUCGGACCUUGCGCGAUUGAAUGAGCCGAUGUCGGAUUAGCUAGUUGGCGGGGUAAAGGCCCACCAAGGCGACGAUCCGUAGCUGGUCUGAGAGGAUGAACAGGCAAACCGGGAACGGAGACACGGCCAAAACCCCCAGGGGGGGGCGCGGGGGGAAAUUUUGGAAAAGGGGGGAAACCCUGACCCAGCCAUCCCGGGGGGGGAAAAAAGGCCUUCGGUUUGAAAAGCCCUUUUGUUGGGAAAAAAAAGCGGCGGGUUAAUACCCCGCUGUUCUGACGGUACCAAAAAAAAAAGCACCGGCUAACUUCGU